rnacentral:hammerhead_ribozyme from 1 species
AUUCAGCUGAGUAGUCCCAAAUAGGACGGAACGCGCGUCAAACUGGAU